AGGACGAACGCUGGCGGCGUGCUUAACACAUGCAAGUCGAGCGGAAAGGCCCUUCGGGGUACUCGAGCGGCGAACGGGUGAGUAACACGUGAGUAAUCUGCCCCUAGCUCUGGGAUAGCUCCGGGAAACCGGGAUUAAUACCGGAUACGACCACUUUAGACAUCUUUUGUGGUGGAAAGAAUUUCGGCUAGGGAUGAGCUCGCGGCCUAUCAGCUUGUUGGUGGGGUAACGGCCUACCAAGGCGACGACGGGUA
rnacentral:rRNA from 1 species